rnacentral:rRNA from 1 species
UUGAAAGGGAAACGAUUGAAGUCAGUCGUACCGGCGGGUAAUCAGCUUUUUGGGUGUGAUUAUGUGGAGCGUGAGGAGUUAAUCACCCUCAUCUUUGCAUACUCGUGCACUUUGGGUGUACUUGCUCGUGUGGUAGGUUAACAUCAAUUUUGAUCGUCAUAAAAUGAUUGGGGGAAUGUAGCUUCGAUCUCGUAUUGAAGUGUUAUAGCCUUCGGUAGAUGUGAUGAUUGGGAUUGAGGAUUGCAACGGAUACCCUUCGGGGCUACCUGUCUGAUCUCUGAAAGUUGCUCUGGUGCUGAAAGCUUGCUUACGGUAUCAAAGUUGGCGUUCAACAGGUUAGAACGGGAUAAAUUCGUUAAGGAUGUUGACGUA